AACGAACGCUGGCGGCAGGCCUAACACAUGCAAGUCGAGCGCCCCGCAAGGGGAGCGGCGGACGGGUGAGUAACACGUGGGAAUUUUCCUCAAGGUACGGAACAACUCAGGGAAACUUGGGCUAAUACCGUAUGAUGCAGAGAUGCCAAAGAUUUAUCGCCUUGGGAUAAGCCCGCGUCAGAUUAGGUAGUUGGUGGGGUAAUGGCCUACCAAGCCUGUGAUCUGUAGCUGGUCUGAGAGGACGAUCAGCCACAUUGGGACUGAGACACGGCCCAAACUCCUACGGAGGCAGCAGUGGGGAAUCUUGCGCAAUGGACGAAAGUCUGACGCAGCCAUGCCGCGUGAAUGAUGAAGGUCUUAGGAUUGUAAAGUUCUUUAGCCUGUGACGAUGAUGACGGUAACAGGAGAAUAAGCCCGGCUAACUUCGUGCCAGCAGCCGCGGUAAAGUGAC
rnacentral:rRNA from 1 species